GUGGGGACGGGAGUGCAGGUGUUGUCUGUGUCACAUCAAGGCAUCAAGCUACUCAAGUUGGUGAGGAGCAGCUCCACCGCUCCAGACUACUUCAGGGUACUGAGGCCUUACAGCUACUCGGACAUCCUGUUCGUGUCCGUGCCAUCGAAAAGCAUGUUGGAGUUCAAUCUCGUCAAUGAGAAGCUGAUCCUGUUUUCCGCCAGGGCCCAGCAGGUCAAGAGCAUGAUUGACUACUUCCUCACAGAGAUUAAAAAGGAUUCAGAGUAUGUGGUGGCGGUGAGGAACUGCAUCAAUGAGAACAGGACGCUUCUCAGUUUCCAUAAAGGAGACAUUAUCAGACUACAACACA